rnacentral:rRNA from 1 species
AGAGGGUGACACUCCCGUCCGCCUGGCAGAGUGAGUCAUUUGUCAACGAGUCGAGUUGUUUGGGAUUUGCAGCUCUAAUUUGGUGGUAAAUUCCAGUCUAAAGCUAAAUAUUGGUGGGAGACCGAUAGCGUACAAGUACCGUGAGGGAAAGAUGCAAAAGAACUUUGAAAAGAGAGUUAAAGAGUACCUGAAGCUGCUGAAACGGAAGCGAAGGAAACCAGUGUUUGUUUGUUCAUAUUUCCCUAGCCACUUGUGGCUUGAGCGCUGUGGGCUUGCGUGGAGUUUGGGUUGGUUGGAUUCCUUUGGAAGAGCGCAGUCAGAGUUGAU